UAUAAUUGUCCGUCCCAGUCAGGCGCCUCUUCCAUGUAAAGAUAUCGGCAGCUUCAAGCCUUGCCGAUAUCUCAAUCCGUACGUGAAUGUAAAUUAACCGAAAUCCUUGUUACCAAGCCCUGCAUGGUGCUCUCUCACAUAAUGCUUCUUUAAAUUUUCAAUCUCACUUAACUUCCGGGGUUAGUACUAUAUUUUGCCAUGAGUUAACUCCCCGUGAUGGCCAGUUUCAUGUACUAUAUAUAAGUAAUUUGCCUUUUGCAUGGCUAUAAUUCUGCAUCCGUGUCUAAGGCCCAGUUUCACAGUUCCUCAUGAUGGGUUAGUAAGCUCCGAAACCAAUACCAGAGCCUUCGAAAUUUCCUUGUACGGUGUCUGGAGUUUAUAUUCAAGUUCACAAAUUUGACGAGACUAUACAGGAAAGGUCUUAUAUUGUCAUGAUACGAAGGAAAGGGAAGAGAAGGGAGAUGAGAUUGGGAGACGAGUGAGCCGAGAUCCUGUUUAUAUUCAAGUUCACAAAUUUGACGAGACUAUACAGGAAAAGCUCUCUGUUUAUGAUAUGAAGGAAAGGGAAGAGAAGGGAGAUGAGUAAGCUGAGAUCCUGUUUAUAUUCAAGUUCACAAAUUUGACGAGACUAUACAGGAAAAUCUCUGUGUUUAUGAUAUGAAGGAAAGGGAAGAGAAGGGAGAUGAGUAAGCUGGGAUCCUGUUUAUAUUCAAGUCCACAAAUUUGACGACACAAUACAGGAAAAGCUCUUUGUAUUUAGUGUGUCAUCGAAGACCGCGCCAUUUUGAACAGUAUGGGAUUCUAUAGCUUGGUUCGGGAGUGUUACAAAGACCAUGAUGGACUGUGGAAAUGGCCCUUAAUGUUCCCUUUUCUAAUAUGCCUCUCUGUUUUUGCAGGAUGCCGCGGACGGACCAUGCAGAGGACUCAUCGCGACGACACCAACGGUUUGGUUAAGUGGGUUCUCUUGUGUGUGCGUCUGUGUGUGAAUGGCAGGCCUGUCGUAUGAUUGUGUGUGUGUGUGCGUUGGCGUUAUGCCUUCGCGCUAUUAUUUUGUUAGGAUGUAUUUUGUGUGUGAACUUUUUGCACGUAAUCUUUUUUUACACCCAUAGCUAGCGUUUGUUUGUGUGUUGCUGUGUUCCGGGAGAUGGGCGCCGGGGGACAUGGGCUUGGGGGGGCGCACGUGACCACCUCUGUCCGUGAUCUCUUCAGCUGGGGAGACCGCGUGUUGCCCCGGCUGGAGAGACACGUCGAUGGAGGUGGUAGCGUGUGUCGUCCCUUGCCUGUAUCCUCUGGCGUCCAGAGGCGCGUAAGUGGAGAGCAUCGGCGCAGCGCGGGAGCAGCACGUCAGGGUGUAGGGUGUUUGUUUAGCUGGUGUAGGGUGUUAGGGUGUUAGGUGUAACAACGGUUGGCUCUUUCACAGAACGGGUGUGAUUCCGUUCUGCGUUUGAGUCUUCCACCUUCAGGCGGUCUCCCUCCGAGAUGUCUGAAGUUUUUUUUGUCGGUUUUCUCCGUAGGAGGAAGCCGACUCUAGCUACUCUGGCCUCUCUUCCGGGGGUCAGAGCGGUCGGGCUCUGCUUGGCCAGGCGUGUUCUUUCGCGUUGUCUCCGCCGACGUUUUGCCAGACUCUUCCGUACGGUUGAGCCUGGCUUUUUUAUUAGGUGGAUCAGGCUGCCUUCUUCCAAGGAGUCUGAUGGGAGUGGAGUCUUUUUUUUGGUGUAUGUCUGUGGGUGCUCAGUGGGUAAGGGCGGGUGGGGUAGAAUGGUUGGUGGGCUGGAAGUGGGUUGGGGGAUGAACCUUCUGGGAUUUGGGUUGUGUCGAGCCUUACCGCCUGGUGUGUUGGGUAACCUUCACGCCAGGGGGGGGGUGCCAAGACCAUAUCCAUUUCCUGGGCAGGGCGAUUCCCCUUUCCCAUGCUAACUGGCCCUCCUCCGUCUGCCUCCCCAAACCCCCGCUGAGUGCUUGUGUGUGUUAUUUUUAUUUAGGAUGUCUUUUUUUUCUAUGCCUUUUUCCCGUGUGUUUAUACCCAAUAGCUAGCGUGUGUGUGUGUGGCAGUCC